UGUAUCUAUUCUAUAGGCUUCAGAUCCUACGGAGCCACCUGAGAAGUGUGAAUGAAAACACGAUAAACAGAGAUUCUCAGAACAAAGAAGACCUCAGAAAGCUGAAACUCAAUUGCAACCUGAUAUGAAUACAGCAAGGAGAGCUUAACAAGAACUGUUACAGGCACACUUCCUGUAUACAGUGGAAAUUAUUCAGCUGACAGGCGGUACUUUAAUGAUCUUCAAACAAUACAUCACUUGCAGGAGAAAAAGCAACAGGUAAGACUGCCUCAGACCUUCCAUUUUAACAUCGCAUUUUCAGUUUCUUUGUAACUACUGGGAAACAGACUUUGAAGAUAGAAAAAUGACAGCAAAAAAUCUUGCAGCUGUUUUGACAAUAAGAAUAGGAAUAAAAAUUGUUUUCCUCAAUAUUAUGGAAGAAAAAGUCCUCUAAGUGUUCUACCAGAGACCUGCAGAGCCAUCACACUUGCAGCAUCUAAAUGCAGCAGUAGAUGCCCAAGAAGCAUUUAUUCUAUUGCGUCCAAUACCUGAAUACUGAACAUAAGCUCAAGACAUAGCACUAGUGACUCAAAUUCUCAGUACUUCAGGACAUGGCUAUGGAGGAACACUUUCCUGCUAUUGCUCUUUCUAACCAGUGUCAACCACUGCAAAUGCCACUAUCUACAAACAACAGUGAUUCUGAUUCUUCUCCUGUUUCAUUGUUCUUAGGGACACCUAAAAGGCUGAAAGAUGACUGGUGAACCUUGAACAGCAAGAUACAGAGCAAAGCAAUGCACUUCAACAGGAAAAUGCAAGUGCACAAUCAGAAAAAGUGGUAUCGAAACACAGCUAUUUAGAGAAGAAAAAAAAAAACCAAAACUGAGUAUCUAGAGAGAAUUUAAUUCCAGCAUUUUUUCA